rnacentral:rRNA from 1 species
UACGGGGGGGGCAAGCGUUGUUCGGAAUUACUGGGCGUAAAGGGCGCGUAGGCGGCCUUCUAAGUCAGACGUGAAAUCCCUCGGCUCAACCGAGGAACUGCGUCUGAUACUGGAAGGCUUGAGUUUGGGAGAGGGAUGCGGAAUUCCAGGUGUAGCGGUGAAAUGCGUAGAUAUCUGGAGGAACACCGGUGGCGAAGGCGGCAUCCUGGACCAACACUGACGCUGAGUGAGCGAAAGCCAGGGGAGCAAACGGG